rnacentral:rRNA from 1 species
UACGAAGGGUGCAAGCGUUACUCGGAAUUACUGGGCGUAAAGCGUGCGUAGGUGGUUUGUUAAGUCUGUUGUGAAAGCCCCGGGCUCAACCUGGGAAUGGCAAUGGAUACUGGCAAGCUAGAGUGCGGUAGAGGGUAGUGGAAUUCCCGGUGUAGCGGUGAAAUGCGUAGAGAUGUGGAGGAACACCGAUGGCGAAGGCAGCCUUCUGGGCCAAUACUGACGCUCAUGCACGAAAGCGUGGGGAGCAAACAGG